rnacentral:rRNA from 1 species
GUGGAUUAGGCAUGCAAGUCGAACGGGAUCGUCCGGUUAGCAAUAAUUGGGCGUGAGAGUGGCGGAUUGGGGAGGAACACGUGAGCAACCUGCCCUUGGGUUGGGGAAAACCGCGGGAAACUGCGGCUAAUACCGGAUGCGGCGCCCGGCGACAUCGUCGGAGCGCUAAAGGGGGCCGCAAGGCUCCCGCCCGAGGAGGGGCUCGCGCACCAUCAGCUAGUUGGCGGGGUAACGGCCCACCAAGGCCUACGGUUAGCUGGUCUGAGAGGAUGGCCAGCCCCACUGGGACUGAGAUACUGCCCAGACUCCUACGGGAGGCUGCAGUCGAGGAUCAUUUGCAAUGGGCGAAAGCCUGACAAUGCGACGCUGCGUGGAGGAUGAAGGCCUUCGGGUUGUAAACUCCUGUCAUGGGGGAACAGGCGAGGGGGCCCAACACGUCCCUUAGUUGAGUGUACCCCAAGAGGAAUUGGCGGCUAACUCUGUGCCAGCAGCCGCGGUAAUACAGAGGCCAAGAGCGUUGUUCGGAUUUACUGGGCGUAAAGGGCGCGUAGGCGGCGAGGCGUGUCGGAUGUGAAAUCUCCGGGCUCAACCCGGAAAGUGCGUCCGAAACUACCUUGCUGGAGUCCGGGAGGGGGAAUCGGAAUGCAGGGUGUAGCGGUGAAAUGCGUUGAUAUCCUGCAGAACACCGGAGGCGAAGGCGGAUUCCUUGAACGGUACUGACGCUGAGGCGCGAAAGUCGGGGGAGCAAACAGGAUUAGAUACCCUGGUAGUCCCGACCUUAAACGGUGCACGCUAGGGGGUGGGGCCCAUUCACCGGCCCCGUCUCUGAGCUAACGCGUUAAGCGUGCCGCCUGGGGAGUACGGCCGCAAGGCUAAAACUCAAAGAAAUUGACGGGGGCCCGCACAAGCAGAGGAGCAUGUGGCUUAAUUCGAUGCAACGCGAAGAACCUUACCUGGGCUUGACAUGGAGCUGCACGUCCCGUGAAAGCGGGACUCCUUCGAGGGUGCUUCACAGUGCUGCAUGGCUGUCGUCAGUUCGUGCCGUGAGUGUUUGGUUAAGUCCACCAACGAACGCAACCCCUUUGGGAUGUUGCCGCGGGUAAAGCCGGGAACUCGUUCCAGACUGCUUGUUCCGCAGAAGAAAGUUGGGAUGAAGUCAGUCAGAUGCCUUACGCCCAGCUGCACUGCUCAAUGGCGGUACAAAGGAUGCAAGCCCAGGCGACGACCAAAACCGCAGUCAAUCGGCUGACGACCCUGAUCGAAUUGUCUAGUAGA